CUAGUCCAUGAUCUAUCUGAUCAUAUUGGCACAAUCUAGAAAAUUAAACAAUCUACAAUAUAACCUCCAAUCAGAGCAUGCCAUAGACACACUCCUCUCAUCCAAUAGAGGAUCAAAGCAACAUUUGUGCUUCAUUCACAUGCAUUGAAUCCAGGAAACAUCUCUUCCUUUUUGUAAACUGAUUCUAUCUUUCCCAAUGUGACAACACAAGUUUAUCUCAAUGUAACCCCACCAGGUUGAAGAGAGAGAUACCGAAGCAGAAACACCAACCAUGAAAUACCAUGACACCAACAGGCAAUUCAAGGU
rnacentral:lncRNA from 1 species